CACCCUCGUGCAGCCUCAGGUCGCGUGCUGACGGGUCUUCUGUGACGCACUCCCACACCUGCCUCCCUGGACACCCACACAGCCGCCACCCCACCCAGGCCACCGUCAUCUGCCACUGUAACCGGCGCCGGCAGCCUCGUACUGUGCUCGCCAGGAGAGGCUGCUCCCCAGCACGUGCCCAGGACAGCCCCUCCCUGGCUGGUCCCGAGGUCCCCAAGGCCCCCACUCCGGGCUGCCCGCCCUGCGCCCACACCUGGGUGCACACGCACGCGCACGCACACACGUGCACGCCCGCAUCGCCGGUGCUGGGCGUCUCACCCGGUCUUCACUCGCACCUCAGUAGCGCCUGGGUACUCACCUUUCUCUCCAGUAGAACCCCGCUUCCAGCUGACUCCCAGUAGAGCUGAAGCUGGAGCCGUGGGCGCUGCCAGGCCUGGGCAGGCUGCAGGGAGGCGUGCAGUGGAGACACUGGAUGUGUGCAGUCUCCACAGGCAGACAGGUGAAGCUGAGACAGGACAGCAUCGUGGACGGGGUUCCAGAGAGCACAAGGAAAGCACAAAAAGGAAGGAUGGAGGGAGGAAGGAAGGAAAAAGCACCAGGCAAGGAGAGCGCUUCCCUUGCACUCGUGAAAAUCAUUCUAGGUCUCUGUUCCUUUGGAGCCAGCAGAGGCAGGGAGUGGUGCUGGUGAAGAGCAUGGGCUCCACAUCUGCAUCCACAUCAGCAAACCUAGACGAGCCGGGCUCAGCCCGGAGGGGCAGGGCUGCUGACUCACUUUACCCUGACUCCUGCCACAGUGCCAAAGGCCAGGAGCCAAGAGGGCAGUGACCCAAAGCAGUUUUCCUCGCCCUGGAUGGGAGAGCAAUGGGGUCCAGGCCAGAGGGCUGUGGGAUGGGCCCAGCUUGCUCCACACCUGGCCAAGUGACAGUGGAGUCCCCAGAGGACUCUGGGCUACUCCUCCCCCCCAGGGUGCUCCUCCCCCCUCCCCCCUGCAGGGCUUUCUUCCAUCUCUCACCCCUCAGGGUCUUCUUCUGAUCCAUCAUGCAGCAGGAUCCUUUUCUGAUCCCUCAUCCCAGCAAGGAAAACUUUCCUUCAAUCCUGUGCCCCAGUUCUUUGUGGUGUCCCUGGUCCCCUGUGCUCUCUUUCUUGUCGGCGCGGCCGUCCUCUCCUGUCUCUGUGACUGUGGCUAGAUGUGCACAUUGCCUCGCUGCACAGGCCUCUGUCUGGCUCCCUCCCUGUCCCUGCUCCCCACUCAUGGCCAUCAGACCCAGGGCUCUGGGACCCACACGGAGGUGAGCCUGUGAAUCCCGGCACCAUCUCUAUCAGCCUGGGGGCUGAUGGCAGGGUCCCCACCUCAGCUGGAAAUCCCCCUCAGCCUCCUGCCUGCAUCUUAAAUUGCAGCAUUUUUUAAUUAAAUGACUUUGCCCCAGGCACUUCAC
rnacentral:lncRNA from 1 species